UGAUCAAAGAAUGAUGAUGAAUGCGCCGGC
rnacentral:sRNA from 1 species